CCUAAACAGCAUUCUCUCGUCAGCAUCCAGCACGACCCGUUCCUGAGCUCACAAAAUAUCUAGAUGCUAUUGACCAGAUGGUAAAUAAUCUUCUUACACCUACUGCGGCGGAUAUGAAGCACAUUGACCGGAAGCUAAAAUAUUGUCGGGAUCCAGGAUCACAUGAAAAGAGUAAGAAACGAAA